GACGUAGGGGGCGAGCGUUGUCCGGAAUUACUGGGCGUAAAGAGCACGUAGGCGGGUAUUUAAGUCAGGUGUGAAAGACCGCAGCUUAACUGCGGGAUUGCAUUUGAAACUGGGUAUCUUGAGGGCAGGAGAGGUCAGUGGAAUUCCAGGUGUAGCGGUGAAAUGCGUAGAAAUCUGGAGGAACACCAGUGGCGAAGGCGGCUGACUGGACUGACCCUGACGCUGAGGUGCGAAAGCGUGGGUAGCAAAC
rnacentral:rRNA from 1 species